rnacentral:rRNA from 1 species
GAUGAACGCUAGCGGCAGGCCUAACACAUGCAAGUCGAGGGGUAACAUUGGUUGCUUGCAACCAGAUGACGACCGGCGCACGGGUGCGCACCGCGUAUGGAACCUACCUUUUACAGGGGAAUAGCCCAGGGAAACUUGGAUUAAUGCCCCGUAGUACCUUUAUAUAGCAUUAUAUUAAGGUUAAAGGCUUCGGCCGGUAGAAGAUGGCCAUGCGUCCCAUUAGCUGGUUGGUGAGGUAACGGCUCACCAAAGCUACGAUGGGUAGGGGCCCUGAGAGGGGGAUCCCCCACACUGGUACUGAGACACGGACCAGACUCCUACGGGAGGCAGCAGUGAGGAAUAUUGGACAAUGGAGGAGACUCUGAUCCAGCCAUGCCGCGUGCAGGAAGAAUGCCCUAUGGGUAGUAAACUGCUUUUAUACGGGAAGAAAAAGGGCCACGUGUGGCCUGUUGACGGUACCGUAAGAAUAAGGACCGGCUAACUCCG